GUUUAUGUGAGGAGUUCUGCACCUGGUAUUAGUCAAACAGGUGAUGACACUAUUCAAGGUCCUAUGAGUGGUACGGAUGGUAAAAGAAACGCGGGCUACUACAAAUACUAUUUUAAUAUUGGGAGUGUUGAGUCAUUUGAAGAGAAGAUUGAGGAAGCACAAGAAACCUUGGGAAUAGACCCUCACAAUUAUGUUCCAGUGUUAUAUGUUGAUGAAAUGAACUGGUUCCAAGAACUGAUGAGGUUUGGUCCAACAAUAUUGAUUUUAGCUGUCCUUUAUUUUAUGGGACGAAGAAUGCAAGGUGGCAUAGGAGUGGGAGGCUCGGGCGGGAAAGGUGGUCGUGGAAUAUUUAAUAUUGGCAAAGCAAAUUUCACCAAGACGGAUAAAAAUGCGAAGAAUAAGGUUUUCUUCAAGGACGUGGCUGGAUGUGAUGAGGCUAAGCAAGAAAUCAUGGAAUUCGUCCACUUUCUUAAGAACCCCAAGAAAUAUGAGCAGUUGGGAGCCAAAAUUCCCAAGGGUGCUCUGCUAGUGGGUCCUCCUGGGACCGGAAAGACACUUCUAGCUAAAGCUACAGCAGGAGAAUCUGGUGUACCUUUUCUCUCGAUUUCUGGGUCAGAAUUUAUGGAGAUGUUUGUUGGUGUUGGACCAGCUAGAGUUAGGAGCUUAUUUCAGGAGGCAAGACAAUCUGCACCUAGUAUAGUUUUCAUUGAUGAGAUUGAUGCUAUUGGUCGAGCAAGAGGGCGGGGAGGCUUUGCUGGAGGUAAUGAUGAACGUGAAAGUACUUUAAAUCAACUGCUUGUAGAAAUGGAUGGAUUUGCAACCACAUCUGGUGUA
rnacentral:misc_RNA from 1 species